AUGCAGCUCAGCCCGUUUCCGGGGAACUGGGAAGCUGUCAGACUGGUCUGGGGGGACCUUUGUCAAACUGCAGGGACUGUAUCAACGCAGCCAACUGCCCUCCCCCCACACAGCAGCUCUGAGGUGGGCACAGGUGACAUCCAUCCUACAGAUGAGAAAAGUGAGGCUCAGCAGGACCAGUGGCUCCUGAGAAGCCCCAGAGAUUGGCAGAGGCCCCUACAGCAGCCCCCAUGGAGACCUGGGAAACAGCUUCCAAGUGCCAGGCCUCAGCCCCUCCCCUGCAACAGGGCAGAGUCUGGACCAGAUCAUUUAAGACCCAGUGCCCUGGACCAGCAAACCAGCACCAGGGAUGCUCUGCCCAGCCCCCUCCAGAUCCUGCCCCCAAGCUGGACUCCAGGGCCCUCCCUCUUACCCCAGCUGGGUGUGCAAGGCUCGGUCACCUUCCAGCCACGGGAAGUCCCACGUCCUGGAGAGGCCUGCCCUCAGCUGCCGUGCUCCCCAGGGACAGACGGCGGGCAGUGGCAACUGAGUGCACCCCCUCGAGUUUUCCUCUACAGGACCCACCCCCCUGGGGCCUUCCUCCGGGAGGGGCCCAGCAGGAAUGACAGGAAAGGAGGGAGACCUCGCUGUGGGUGUGGCCAGCACAAAGGGGCAGUGGCUGUCCCAGGCACCAGAGCAGAGCCAGGGUCCCCCCAGACCAGCUCUUUCUGCUGCUCUGAACUGAGAUUCCUGCCCGGGGUGGGAGGCCACAGAAGGGGAGAGGACUCUGAGUUCAAGUUAGCAACGGGCUUCCAGACACCCUUUGUGUGCUCAGCACUAUGGAUUGGGGGGCGCCUCCACACCCCCUCAGAGGCCAGGUCCCCAAGCAGCCUGUCUGCCACAGACCCAGGAGAGAAGGACAGGAGGAAGGUGAGUUUCCCCAUGAGAAGGUUAAAACAGGCUUUAGAGGUCACAAAAGCAGUCCCUGCAGAAGAAAAUCAUUCUUUAAAAACAAAGAUGUUCAUCAUGUUAAUGUUUUUUUGUUCUUUUUUUUUUUUUUUUGAGAUGGAGUUUUGCUCUUUUGCCCCCAGGCUGGAGAGUGCAAUGGGGUGA
rnacentral:lncRNA from 1 species